rnacentral:rRNA from 1 species
AGGGUGCAAGCGUUAAUCGGAAUUACUGGGCGUAAAGCGUGCGCAGGCGGUCUUGCAAGACAGAUGUGAAAUCCCCGGGCUCAACCUGGGAACUGCAUUUGUGACUGCAAGGCUGGAGUGCGGCAGAGGGGGAUGGAAUUCCGCGUGUAGCAGUGAAAUGCGUAGAUAUGCGGAGGAACGCCGAUGGCGAAGGCAAUCCCCUGGGCCUGCACUGACGCUCAUGCACGAAAGCGUGGGGAGCAAACAGG